UUCCUGCCUGGCCUGGCCACCUGCCAGUCUGGUUCUUCCCACUGCACACAGGCCCAAAGCCAGGCUGUGAAGGGUGCACUUGACUCCUGACCCUGCGCCCCUGCCCCUGGCUGAGGACAGCGCCCGGCAAGCUGUUGUCCGGCAAGUGUGCUGUUUUGUUCCAUGACUCCACUCCUUGCUCAUGUUUCCCCAGCCCGGAGCUCCCACCCUCACCCCUUGUCUACCUGGCAAGCUCUUAUUUGUACAUUAAAACCCAGCCUCUGUUUAUCUUCCUGCAUUCUCUUUCCUCUCUUGGGCCACUUCUGACUAAUCUGAACAUGUGGUAUCAUUGUCCUUGUCACUUGCUGAUACUGAUCUGCUUGCCGGUCAUUACCCCUCUUUAGUUCCCAAGUUCCCAUGGAAAGUAUUAGAAGGAUUCCCAGUGGAUUCCCAGUGUCCAGCGGAGUCUGGCUCCCAGCGAUGCUGGUCCCACGGAACCGGAUGACCUUGGCCCUGACCCACUCCGUCUUCAGGAGGCUCCUAUGCGUCCAUGGACUUGCAAACCCUGGGAAGCCAGGGUUUGUGGUUUGCUAAAGGACGCACUCCUCUCCUGCACUGUCCACAUGCUCUGGCCCAAAGAAAGCCUGAGAUUCAGGCUGUUCUCCUGCGGCUCCACUCCCAGCUCGGCAGUGCAGCGGCCACACCGUUUCUUGAGUGGACAUGGGAAUGGACCAGCCUGCCACCCCUCACUGCAACACCUCUUCCAGACCCGUGAAUCUUUCCGCUGUGCCCCCAGAAAUCCAGGGCAGCCACAAGUCUCCUACGAGGUGAUCCAUCAGAUUCCUGACCCACAGAGAUGCAGAACAAAAGGGCUGAGUUUCACCUUUGGUAUGGCACAAGGCAGGGGAUCAGGCCAGUCCCUCUGUGUGUGGCCUGCUCAACGCUCCUGGCGCAUCCGCUUCACUGCCGCCGUCUUCACGUUCUCAAGCACAGGUGCUUCAGGCCUGCACGUCCUAGGCUGAAGUCAGCGUGGUCCACCCAUGUCUGAAACCCGGCUGAUAAUUUCGCCAAAAUCAGCUGAAAAAGUUCCCUCCUGAGCUGCCCGAGCCAGAUGCCAACAGCACCAGGGAGCAAGGCCAAGCCCGCUCUGGAUGGCAACCAGGCUGCCUGGCGCUUGCUUCCCACACAAGCGGGAAUGCGCCUGUGCUUUCUUCGGUGCAUCCCUGACUUCCUGAUUUCUAACACGCUUUGACGAUCUUGGCCUUUUUUUUUUUUGGUCUUUUUUGAGACAAGGUCUCGCUAUGCAGUUCAGGCUGGCCUUGAACUCACAUCAUAGCCUGGGCUGGUUUCAAACUCGCAGUGAUCCUCUUGCCUCAGCCUCCCGAGUGCCGGCACUACAGGCAUGAGCCACCACACCUGGCUUCCAUCUUUACCUUUUAAUUGAAGUAUUUAGCACUUUUGCAUUUGAGCUAAUAAUUGACUGCUUUGGGUUUAAAUUCGUCAUUUUACUACGGUUUUGUAUUUGUCUCCUUUCUUGCCUUUAGGAUGAACCCAGUAAACUCUAUGAUCGCACUUCUACCAGAAGUUUGCUAGUUGCGCUGCCCUUGGUCACCCUUGGAGUGGUUAUUCUACUAGAUAAACAUGUAUUCUUCAUUUCUGGAAGCUAAUACUAAUGCUUUUACGUUAAUUUUUGAAGCUACUAACUAAUGCUUUUAAUGCAGUGCAGAAAUUACGCAAAAAGCCUGUAAUAAAUGAAAAAUGCAAUUA